AGUGAACGCUGGCGGCAGGCCUAACACAUGCAAGUCGAGCGGCAGCGCGGGGGCAACCCUGGCGGCGAGCGGCGGACGGGUGAGGAAUGCAUCGGAAUCUACCUCGUUGUGGGGGAUAACCUCGGGAAACCGGGACUAAUACCGCAUACGACCUACGGGUGAAAGUGGGGGACCUUCGGGCCGUCACGCGAUGAGAUGAGCCGAUGCCGGAUUAGCUAGUUGGCGGGGUAAAGGGACCCGACCCAAGGCGACGAUCCGUAGCUGGUCUGAGAGGAUGAUCAGCCACACUGGAACUGAGACACGGUCCAGACUCCUACGGGAGGCAGCAGUGGGGAAGUAUUGGACAAU
rnacentral:rRNA from 1 species